rnacentral:misc_RNA from 1 species
UGGGUGACCCCUUCAUGCCU